CCUACGGGAGGCAGCAGUGGGGAAUAUUGGACAAUGGGGGGAACCCUGAUCCAGCCAUGCCGCGUGUGUGAAGAAGGCCCUCGGGUUGUAAAGCACUUUCAGUGAGGAAGAACGCCUGUGGUUAAUACCCAUCAGGAAAGACAUUACCCACCGAAGAAGCACCGGCUAACUCCGUGCCAGCAGCCGCGGUAAUACGGAGGGUGCGGAGCGUUAAUCGGAAUUACUGGGCGUAAAGCGCGCGUAGGUGGCUUGAUAAGCCGGUUGUGAAAGCCCCGGGCUCAACCUGGGAACGGCAUCCGGAACUGUCAAGCUAGAGUGCAGGAGAGGAAGGUAGAAUUCCCGGUGUAGCGGUGAAAUGCGUAGAGAUCGGGAGGAAUACCAGUGGCGAAGGCGGCCUUCUGGACUGACACUGACACUGAGGUGCGAAAGCGUGGGUAGCAAACAGGAUUAGAUACCCCUGUAGUC
rnacentral:rRNA from 1 species